rnacentral:rRNA from 1 species
UUUCCGUAGGUGAACCUGCGGAAGGAUCAUUAUUGAAUUU